rnacentral:lncRNA from 1 species
AUGAAGAUUGUAAAGCUGGAAGCUCUGCAGCACAAGUGUCUGUACAGAGUCCUGGAUCUCUACAGCCACCUCCAGGCCAGGGCUUGCCCAGAAGGUGUGAGCAGCAUCCUGAGCAGGUUCAGCUGCCAAAAUGCAGGUGAAGAAGUGGCCCGAGAGGUUGCUGAGAGCAGAGAGCAGCAGCAAGCAGCCAGAGCAGUGGAUUUCCUCCAGGAGCACCAUCGCGAGGGGAAUUUGCUGAAGGGGUUAAACGCAGAGGCUGAGGCUGAGCUGAGGAAAAUGCAGGCACAGUUCAGGCUGGAGCUUCAAAGCCAGACAGAGGAAAAGCUGAAAGCCAAAGAAACAAAAGUGAUCCAGGAGACCAAAGGACAGAAAUUUGGAGAUCUUGUGGUUUAUUCCCUCCUCUCACAGAGGCAGCUCAGGCACAGGGUGACUUUGCUCCAGGAUUGUCACAGGCUCAGGAACGCUGCCCUGAAAUCCCUAAAGGAGGGCACAGGCCUGGAACACCUCUUGGAAGUAAAAUUCUCUUUUUAUUUUUGCUUUAAAAUUCUCCAAGUUUGGUUUAGAACCUGGACUGUGCUGCUGCAAAGAUUUACAAACACUCAGGAAUUGUGUCUGUUUAGAGAAAUGUGUCUAGAAAUGAAGCUAAGUUCAG